rnacentral:rRNA from 1 species
UACGUAGGGGGCGAGCGUUAUCCGGAAUCACUGGGCGUAAAGGGCGCGUAGGCGGUCUGUUAAGUCCGAUGUUAAAGACUGGGGCUCAACCCCAGCAUUGCGUUGGAUACUGGCAGGCUUGACGGUUGGAGAGGCGAGUGGAAUUACCAGUGUAGCGGUGAAAUGCGUAGAUACUGGUAGGAACACCCAUUGCGAAGGCAGCUCGCUGGACAACCCGUGACGCUGAGGCGCGAAAGUGUGGGGAGCAAACCGG